rnacentral:rRNA from 1 species
UACGGGGGGGCAAGCGUUGUUCGGAAUUACUGGGCGUAAAGGGCUCGUAGGCGGCCAACUAAGUCGGACGUGAAAAUCCCUCGGCUCAACCGGGGAACUGCGUCCGAUACUGGAUGGCUUGAGUUCGGGAGAGGGAUGCGGAAUUCCAGGUGGUAGCGGUGAAAUUCGUAGAUAUUAGGAAGAACACCGAUGGCGAAGGCAGG